GGUGUUCCAAGUAGUGCAGUCAGUCCAAAGAUGACUCACAAGUCUUUGCAGACUUUGAUUAGUGAAAACCAUAAUUGACUUUUCAGGGAGUGAUCGAUGAGAGCCCUGAUGGCUGAUGGUUCAAAAUGGCACCCCUCCCGUAUUGAUAAGCACUCAUUGGGGGGAAAAAAGUCUCCUACUUGUUGGAUCGCAGGCAGCAUCCUCGACUCUCAGGCUCUAGUGAACACAAACAGCUUGCGCCAAGGGAUUUGUGGAUGUGUACGAGUCGAGACUGUGACUUGGGAGCACUGGGCGUGCCUUUUGUUAAUAGAAUACGCAUGGUUGGGUCUCCCUGGGGCUGUUAGUGAUGAGAGGAGAAUGAAAAUGUUAAUGUUUGUGGAGCUGUCGUGGAUUCUCUGAGACCUAUUCAGUUCAUUCACUUAUACCACAAUAUUGCAUAAUAGGAAAAACUGAAUUGAUGUAGAGUUAGAAUAUCAACUCUGUAUUCCAAAUUUUCAAUAGUGUAAGUGCAAAACUAAAUUGCACUAUCAACAGUUUUUUUCUGCCUGUUUACCUAACCUUGGCUAUUUUUGAAGUCUUGUACUAUUUAAAACAUUCAAGUGUUGUAAAACAGAAGAAUAGCUGUUAUGUACACAGUUUUUGCCUUGUACAUAUAGGCUAACAUCUUUAUGCAUUGUUAUUCACCCCUAAGAUUGUUUGCUGAGCACAUACACUCCUUUUCAGCAACACCGUUUCACACUCAGUUACACACACUCACACCUUGGAGGUCUACAGGAGCAGUUGAGGCAUGAGUGCCUUUGGGAUGGGCAUUUCCACAAUAGUCCACAAUAGGAGAGGAAUGCAUUUCCCGGUCACUUUUUUCAUCCAACCAUCAAGGUUAGUACAGGGAUUUGAACUGGCAACCCCCCCACCAUAUACUGUAGCUGCUUACAUGAGGAAAGUGCACAUAUCAGACAGAAUAAAAAACACAACCUAAUAAUUUAAAUGCAAAUUUAAACAUUCGCACACAGGUACACCAAAGAUAAAACGUAUCAGUGAAUGUGCCUAAACUUCCAUGUCUAACCUGUCCUAACCUUCCAUUUAGUUUGUUUUGAGGGUUUGUUUUCAAUGGCAGCAUAUAAUCUUGAUUAUGGGCUGUGUCAGGAUAGUCAUAUUUGUGUAUGAUGGCAAACUGAUCAGACAAGUCAUGUUUUCACUUGGAUAGUAUAAUUGCUCUUUCUCAAUUGUAAGACAUUUCUUCAUAGUAAAGAAGUCAAGAAGAAAUGGUAUUUCAGCGGCUCUAAGAAUGCAGUGACAUAUUACGCCAGAAAGCAUGUAUUGUACAUAUUGUGUGAGUACUGUGUGUGUAGGGUUGGGCAACAUAUCGGUAUUGCAGUAAUGAUAUAUGAUAUGAAUCUAAAUAUUGUCUGGGGUUUUUGUACGGUUUUAUUAAACUAACUACCUUAAUUUAAUAACUCCCACCGUAAAGGGUGUGCUUGGCUGAUGAAACAGUGUCUUACUCAAGC
rnacentral:lncRNA from 1 species